UACGGGGGGAGCAAGCGUUGUUCGGAUUUACUGGGCGUAAAGGGCGCGUAGGCGGCCUCCGCAAGUCAGUUGUGAAAUCUCCGAGCUUAACUCGGAAGGGUCAACUGAUACUGCGGGGCUAGAGUGCGGAAGGGGCAACUGGAAUUCUUGGUGUAGCGGUGAAAUGCGUAGAUAUCAAGAGGAACACCUGCGGCGAAGGCGGGUUGCUGGGACGGUACUGACGCUGAGACGCGAAAGCGUGGGGAGCGAACAGG
rnacentral:rRNA from 1 species